CUCUACAUUGGCUCACAUUUCGUCAGAUUUAUCUACUCUGACUCUAUUCUGCUACUCUCUGUGUCUAGUGAUUUUGAUCUAUCAUCUCUAAACUCACACUGUUUCAUGCUUUAUGCAGUAGACAAAAAUAUUUAUGCUAUCGUUGCCAAAACAUGAAAACAUCUCUUCACAAAUCACUCUCAUUCUCAAUUCAUCGUUGACAUGUUUAUUCAAUGAUUAGUUGACUCUUCCGCCCAUGGUUAAUUUCUCCCUUCUCAACAUCUUCAUGAAAAAAAAAAAUCUAACAAGUUUCAACGGUACCUUUUGUUCAAAUGACACUUUUUUCUACCGGGUUUUUUUUAUAAGAACACAGUACAAGACUAAUCUAAGUCGCCACGGGCGCCUCGUCUCCCAUUGAAAGUACAAAGCCGUUAGAAUCCUGAAAAAUUUGCUCCAACGAGAAGUCGAACCCAUGACCUCAGAUGCUACUAAGGCCUUAUGUAACCACAAGACUACAGGCUCUUUCGCGGG
rnacentral:lncRNA from 1 species